ACACACAGAAAAAUUUUUCGCAUUUUGUGUAUGCGAGUGAAAUGGUUCGCAGUUUCAAUUGGCGAGUCUUAGGUAGACUCGCACAUUACUUUUACGAAUCUAUGAUUGGUGUAAGUGUUUGAGCAAAUCAGUAUUUAUAGAAUUCAAUGUUUAAUUUCGGUCCAAUAAAUGUGAAAAUUUUCGAGAAAUAGUGCGAAUGA